UUCAGUCCUUGCAAUAAAGGGAACAGCGCAACAUCUGACGUGUCAAAUAACGAUACUAGAUUGUCGGUAUCUUAUGUGCUGUCCAGACAGAGCCUGAACAAGAACCAGAGGAACUGUAAGAGUCUAGCCACUGGCAUUUAGUGGAGGUCAAGUGGAGGAACACUGUUACAGAUCUUACAAACCAUCCUGGAACUGACUGCUUAUGGUUGCAUUUUGAAACCUCACUUAUUUCUACAUCUGCACCACGGCACAGUAAAAGGCUCAUGUUUUGGAGCAGUCUCACCCACUUUGCUCCAGGAGGAAAGUGUCAUUACUGCCUACUGUACUGCAUGAGGCCCAACUCACUCUAUGCCAAGGAAUAAAUUCCGAAAUUAUUACACAGACAAAGCUCACAGAAAGUGAGUUUGUAAUUCUUCAGCUCUCUGAAUUCUUCCCAGCUUUCUGGAAAGAACAGGGAAGUAUUUUCAAGAUUUUACUGCUGAAGAUACAUUUUGUUCUUGUGCCCACACAUACCUGGUAAGAACUAUGCCUCUGCCGCCUGUAAAUGCUCUUUUAGCUGACAUACUGUAUUACGGAUACUGUUGGAAAAGAAAGUAAAAAGGCAGACUCUUCCUGAAGCCUAUUUGUUUUUCUAUGUUUUCAUUUGCAGCACUGACAAAAAUUGCACAAUACUUGAAAUGAGUGUAUCUUUCCACUGCUUUUGCAUGUAAUCUGCUAUUUUAAAAUUUUAUUGACUUUAUCUGUCUAACUUGUAGGCCUAUGUAUGCAAUUGAGAAUCACUAACUAUUGUGUCUGGCUAAUAAUCAGAAAUUUUGAGUCACAAUCAGUUAAGAGAAAAUUAUAUGCUUUAUAGAGCUUUGUCCAUUUCUUCUGCAAUUCUUUGGUACUAUGAAAAGUUCAGGUGCUGAACAGUGUCAUUCCUGUUAAUGGUUUUUGUAUGUAUGUGUAUAUAAAUAAAUAAAUAAAUAAAAAGAUAUGAUUUAUCUCAGGAGGUGCCCUGAUCACUGGAAGGGUCUCCUGGCUCUCAGAACAAACAGAGGUUGUGUGAACCUUGAAAAAUGAGCUUCAAGGUCCUUUAUCAAGCUGUUGUGGUUCAAAAAAGAGAUUUUUUUUUUUUUUUUUUAAUAUGUAUGCAUAAUCAGAUCUCCCAGAGAUUUACUUUCUAUGCAGAGAUGACAUUGAGAGCACUGUUUCAAUUUACUCUUACAUCAUAUAGAUGCAAAUGAGAACCUGAGCAGGUUUACUCACCUGGCACUAUAGUCUACAGUACAGUGCAGGCACUAAUGUGAACCAUGCAAUGUGGUUCAGAGCAUAUCAGCAUGAACUCAUGAUUUAUUGCAGUUCUGUCUGUCCUUGUGGUGUCAGUACUACGGAGUUUGUGGGCAGCUUCAGAAGGAUUAAGGCUGUGGAGCAGUGAAAUGGGAGAUAGUGGGGCAAGCACUGCAGCUGGCGAAACAGGGAUCCUCCUGCUAAUCCUUGCACCAGUGCCACUGCCAGACAUGCUGUUCCUCUCUGUGUACCCAUUGCAUGGGCCUGCUCAUCUCAAAUGAAAAGUCUUGGACCUUGUUGAUACCCAGGAUCAAUUUGUCAAGCUGCCCAACUACUUUAGAUCUGUAACUGAUGCACUUCUAUGGGGAAAACAACAACAAAAAACAGAACCUUGCCCCUGCCUUUGGCUGUUUGGGGAGAAAUUGUAAAUCAGAUAAAAUUAGAUAAACAUCAUAGAAAGUUCCUAUGAAGCAGCUUCCCUUCUACUUCCUCUCCUCCACAUUAUGGUCGGAGUAAGAAGACUUUUUUGCUGAAUCAGCGGGUGCAUCGGUGCAGCAGCUCCAGACCAACAGACACCAGCACAAAUGGUGUGAGCAAGAGGAGAGAGCUGUAGGGGCAGCACAGCUCAGCCCAAACACACAGCUUUAAAACAGCACUGUGGGAUUUCAGGUGCUGGGACAGAAUUGAUUUCAGUAAGCAUUCAUGUACCAGAGGACAUCUGACAGCCCAGAGUGCAGGCACAGGCACCUGACUGCGCAGUUUCUCUCCUUCAGCACAAAGAUUUGGCAGCCUUUGUUGCAGUUAUAUUAUUCCACUGGGGACCAGAAAUUUCUUUCUCAUUGACCUCAUUGUCUCACCUUGCUCCAACCAGCUAAGCUUUCUUGGCAGACUUGCAGUUUUUCCUGCAUAUUUCCCCACAAAAGACCAUUUUAAUUACAGUUUUGCUGCAAACAAUGCAAUUUAUCUGCAGGUAUUUCCUCGUGUUGACUAUAUUUCUGAAAACUGUUCCCUGCAAUGUGAUGAGUGUCUGCAAGUAGCAGGUGAGUACAUAAGGGCAGAGAGAUGUAGGAGUGUUUGUCCUCUCCUCUCUGGCCUCUACAGAAAAGCCUUAUGCCUAUAGUACUCCAUUCUGCAUCACGUUAAUUACAUUGUACUCUUGAUUAAAUUAAGGAGCCCUAUGCAGCAGGGUCAAAUUAAAUCUAAUAAAUGUGUUGAAUAGAAACUGAACAGUCGACUUCAUGCAUGCUCAGGAAAUUGAGUGGAAAGCUGAAGAACAGAGAAAAAUGGAGGAAAAUAGAGAGUUUUAUUCUGUAUUAAAAUGUUUGAGUGCUUGGUAAUAUUGCUAACAGAAAACUUGAACAAAGAUUUUUAAACCACCAGAAACUCAGACAAUUUUACCAUUUUUUCAGACACACUUUUUCACUUAAAUGAAAUUUUGGUCUUCAUAAAAUCUCUCUAUAUUGCACAUUUAAUUUCAGCACAAAAGUUAGCUAGCUGGACAGUAUUUUAAUUAUGGCAACUACAAUCGAUACAACCAAGGUUUAAAGUAAAGUUUUAUGGUUAUUUUAUAAACUUAGGAAUGUACUGUAGCAAUUUAUAAUGGCAACAUUGAUUCAACCCGCAUUUAAGGAAUAACUAGGGCAAGUUGUCUGGUGGGUGGUAGACCAAACCCCAUGGGCUGUUUGCGCUGAGUUGCAGGUAAGGCUUGCCAACGUGGAGCACUCACACCGUACCAGGGAGAGACAAAAUGGCUGGGUGUGCGUGAUCCUCUUCUGCUGCCCGCCUUGAGGAUGCAUGAAACCUUUAAGUACUUAGGGUCAUAUCCUUGAAGUUAUUUAGGUGUCCAUUAGUCUGUGAAAUUAGUAAUUUGAAUGCUUACCUGUCUCUGAAAACAUGGUUGUCAGCAGUCAAACUAACAGGACUUAACAUGGGAAAAAUAACUUGA